rnacentral:rRNA from 1 species
GUGGGGAAUCUUGCGCAAUGGGCGAAAGCCUGACGCAGCCAUGCCGCGUGAAUGAUGAAGGUCUUAGGAUUGUAAAAUUCUUUCACCGGGGACGAUAAUGACGGUACCCGGAGAAGAAGCCCCGGCUAACUUCGUGCCAGCAGCCGCGGUAAUACGAAGGGGGCUAGCGUUGCUCGGAAUUACUGGGCGUAAAGGGCGCGUAGGCGGAUCGUUAAGUCAGGGGUGAAAUCCCAGAGCUAAACUCUGGAACUGCCCUUGAUACUGGCGAUCUUGAGUGUGAGAGAGGUAUGGGGAACUCCGAGUGUAGAGGUGAAAUUCGUAGAUAUUCGGAAGAACACCAGUGGCGAAGGCGACAUACUGGCUCAUUACUGACGCUGAGGCGCGAAAGCGUGGGGAGCAAACAGGAUUAGAAACCCGAGUAGUCC